rnacentral:lncRNA from 1 species
UAUAUAUAUAUAUAUAUAUAUAUAGAGUUGAGCUAGAAUACUCUCGAGAGUAAACGAGCCCGUUUACUCUCGAGUUGUUUUCGAUGAUAGAGCUUUCAAAUUGACGAUCGGCUCCGUUGAACAUGAUUUAUACCACUUGAAGUGUUUAGAAAUCAAAUUUCAAAUCUUUUCGACAUCAUUUGCCUAAUGAUCAAAGGGUUUCAAAAUUUGUAAUUUUAAUGGUGGAUAAGAGACGUUUUCUCGUUUAACGGUGUAAAGAUAUCCAAAUCAAUUGAAUUUUUGUUAGAAAAUUCUUUAAACUAUUUAAAACAAGAUCUAUACUCUUGAUCUUGAUUACAAGACUCCUAUCAUCAUUUUUUAAAGAAUAUUCAUUUUCAGCCAUUCAUUUUUCUGUUCACUAGAUGGAUAUAAAACAAUAUCGAAAGUGCGUGAAAUCUGAUUUCUAGGUAGUUUAAAUGGUUUAGAUCAUAUUUAACGGAGCCGAUCGUCAAUUUGGAAGCUCUAUCAUCGAAAACAACUCGAUAGUAAAACGCCCCGUUUACUAUCGAGAGUAUUCUAGCUCAACUCUAUAUAUAUAUAUAUAUAUAUAUAUAUAUAUAUAUAUAUAUAUAU